UGCGAGUUGAUGUAAUAGUAACAUAUAGGGCUCAUGACCCUAAAUUUUAGGUGUAACUCCUAAAUUCGCAA
rnacentral:tRNA from 1 species